AGAGUUUGAUCAUGGCUCAGGAUGAACGCUAGCUACAGGCUUAACACAUGCAAGUCGAGGGGCAGCAUGGUCUUAGCUUGCUAAGGCCGAUGGCGACCGGCGCACGGGUGAGUAACACGUAUCCAACCUGCCGUCUACUCUUAGACAGCCUUCUGAAAGGAAGAUUAAUACAAGAUGGCAUCAUGAGUCCACAUGUUCACAUGAUUAAAGGUAUUCCGGUAGACGAUGGGGAUGCGUUCCAUUAGAUAGUAGGCGGGGUAACGGCCCACCUAGUCUUCGAUGGAUAGGGGUUCUGAGAGGAAGGUCCCCCACAUUGGAACUGAGACACGGUCCAAACUCCUACGGGGCGCAGCAG
rnacentral:rRNA from 1 species